GACGAACGCUGGCGGCGUGCUUAACACAUGCAAGUCGAACGGAAAGGCCCUGCUUUUGUGGGGUGCUCGAGUGGCGAACGGGUGAGUAACACGUGAGUAACCUGCCCUUGACUUUGGGAUAACUUCAGGAAACUGGGGCUAAUACCGGAUAGGAGCUCCUGCUGCAUGGUGGGGGUUGGGAAGUUUCGGCGGUUGGGGAUGGACUCGCGGCUUAGCAGCUUGUUGGUGGGGUAGUGGCUUACCAAGGCUUUGACGGGUAGCCGGCCUGAGAGGGUGACCGGCCACAUUGGGACUGAGAUACGGCCCAGACUCCUACGGGAGGCAGCAGUGGGGAAUAUUGCACAAUGGGCGGAAGCCUGAUGCAGCAACGCCGCGUGCGGGAUAACGGCCUUCGGGUUGUAAACCGCUUUCGCCCGUGACGAAGCGUGAGUGACGGUAAUGGGUAAAGAAGCACCGGCUAACUACGUG
rnacentral:rRNA from 1 species